rnacentral:rRNA from 1 species
UACGUAGGGACCAAGCGUUGUCCGGAAUCAUUGGGCGUAAAGCGCGCGUAGGCGGCCCCGUAAGUCCGCUGUGAAAGUCAAAGGCUCAACCUUUGAAAGCCGGUGGAUACUGUGGGGCUAGAGUCCGGAAGAGGCGAGUGGAAUUCCUGGUGUAGCGGUGGAAUGCGCAGAUAUCAGGAGGAACACCAAUAGCGAAGGCAGCUCGCUGGGACGGUACUGACGCUAAGGCGCGAAAGCGUGGGGAGCGAACAGG